CAGCCCCUCGAGUGGUGGGGAUGAUUAUUUGGCCUAAAGCGUCCGUAGCCUGCCGGGUAAGUUUCCCGUUAAAUCCAGCGUCUCAAGCGUUGGACUGCGGGAAAUACUGCCUGGCUAGAGAGUGGGAGAGGUCAGCGGUAUUCUGGGGGUAGGGGCGAAAUCCUUUGAUCCCCGGAGGACCACCAGUGGCGAAGGCUGCUGACUAGAACACGUCUGACGGUCAGGGACGAAAGCUGGGGUAGCGAACCGGAUUAGAUACCCGUGUAGUCC
rnacentral:rRNA from 1 species